rnacentral:rRNA from 1 species
CCUGAAACCGUGUACGUACAAGCAGUGGGAGCACGCUUAGGCGUGUGACUGCGUACCUUUUGUAUAAUGGGUCAGCGACUUAUAUUCUGUAGCAAGGUUAACCGAAUAGGGGAGCCGAAGGGAAACCGAGUCUUAACUGGGCGUUAAGUUGCAGGGUAUAGACCCGAAACCCGGUGAUCUAGCCAUGGGCAGGUUGAAGGUUGGGUAACACUAACUGGAGGACCGAACCGACUAAUGUUGAAAAAUUAGCGGAUGACUUGUGGCUGGGGGUGAAAGGCCAAUCAAACCGGGAGAUAGCUGGUUCUCCCCGAAAGCUAUUUAGGUAGCGCCUCGUGAAUUCAUCUCCGGGGGUAGAGCACUGUUUCGGCAAGGGGGUCAUCCCGACUUACCAACCCGAUGCAAACUGCGAAUACCGGAGAAUGUUAUCACGGGAGACACACGGCGGGUGCUAACGUCCGUCGUGAAGAGGGAAACAACCCAGACCGCCAGCUAAGGUCCCAAAGUCAUGGUUAAGUGGGAAACGAUGUGGGAAGGCCCAGACAGCCAGGAUGUUGGCUUAGAAGCAGCCAUCAUUUAAAGAAAGCGUAAUAGCUCACUGGUCGAGUCGGCCUGCGCGGAAGAUGUAACGGGGCUAAACCAUGCACCGAAGCUGCGGCAGCGACGCUUAUGCGUUGUUGGGUAGGGGAGCGUUCUGUAAGCCUGCGAAGGUGUGCUGUGAGGCAUGCUGGAGGUAUCAGAAGUGCGAAUGCUGACAUAAGUAACGAUAAAGCGGGUGAAAAGCCCGCUCGCCGGAAGACCAAGGGUUCCUGUCCAACGUUAAUCGGGGCAGGGUGAGUCGACCCCUAAGGCGAGGCCGAAAGGCGUAGUCGAUGGGAAACAGGUUAAUAUUCCUGUACUUGGUGUUACUGCGAAGGGGGGACGGAGAAGGCUAUGUUGGCCGGGCGACGGUUGUCCCGGUUUAAGCGUGUAGGCUGGUUUUCCAGGCAAAUCCGGAAAAUCAAGGCUGAGGCGUGAUGACGAGGCACUACGGUGCUGAAGCAACAAAUGCCCUGCUUCCAGGAAAAGCCUCUAAGCAUCAGGUAACAUCAAAUCGUACCCCAAACCGACACAGGUGGUCAGGUAGAGAAUACCAAGGCGCUUGAGAGAACUCGGGUGAAGGAACUAGGCAAAAUGGUGCCGUAACUUCGGGAGAAGGCACGCUGAUAUGUAGGUGAAGUCCCUCGCGGAUGGAGCUGAAAUCAGUCGAAGAUACCAGCUGGCUGCAACUGUUUAUUAAAAACACAGCACUGUGCAAACACGAAAGUGGACGUAUACGGUGUGACGCCUGCCCGGUGCCGGAAGGUUAAUUGAUGGGGUCAGCGCAAGCGAAGCUCUUGAUCGAAGCCCCGGUAAACGGCGGCCGUAACUAUAACGGUCCUAAGGUAGCGAAAUUCCUUGUCGGGUAAGUUCCGACCUGCACGAAUGGCGUAAUGAUGGCCAGGCUGUCUCCACCCGAGACUCAGUGAAAUUGAACUCGCUGUGAAGAUGCAGUGUACCCGCGGCAAGACGGAAAGACCCCGUGAACCUUUACUAUAGCUUGACACUGAACAUUGAGCCUUGAUGUGUAGGAUAGGUGGGAGGCUUUGAAGUGUGGACGCCAGUCUGCAUGGAGCCGACCUUGAAAUACCACCCUUUAAUGUUUGAUGUUCUAACGUUGACCCGU